GACGAACGCUGGCGGCGUGCCUAAUACAUGCAAGUAGAACGCAGUUGCGAACGGGUGAGUAACGCGUAGGUAACUGCCUCAUAGCGGGGGAUAACUAUUGGAAACGAUAGCUAAUACCGCAUACUGUGAGAUGGACCUGCGUUGUAUUAGCUAGUUGGUGAGGUAAAGGCUCACCAAGGCGACGUUACAUAGCCGACCUGAGAGGGUGAACGGCCACAAUGGGAAGGAGACACGGCCCAGACGCCCACGGGAGGCAGCAGGAGGGAAUCUUGGGCAAUGGACGGAAGUCUGACCGAGCAACGCCGAGGGGGUGGAGAAGGUUUGCGGGUCGGAAAGCGCUGUUGUGAGAGAAGCGUUAACUAACGAGAAAGGGCCGGCUAACUACGUGCCAGCAGCCGCGGUAAUUC
rnacentral:rRNA from 1 species